AUUGAACGCUGGCGGCAGGCCUAACACAUGCAAGUCGAACGAGUGGCGGACGGGUGCGUAAUGUCUGGGAAAAUGCCUGCAGGAGGGGGAUAACUACUGGAAACGGUAGCUAAUACCGCAUACCAUCAGAUGUGCCCAGAUGGGAUUAGCUCGUAGGUGGGGUAAAGGCUCACCUAGGCUACGAUCCCUAGCUGGUCUGAGAGGAUGACCAGCCACACUGGGACUGAGACACGGUCCCGGCUCCUACGGGAGGCAGCAGUGGGGAAUAUUGCACAAUGGGCGCAAGCCUGAUGAAGCCAUGCCGCGUGUAUGAAGAAGGCCUUCGGGUUGUAAAGUACUUUCAGCGGGGAGGCGUUACCCGCAGAAGAAGCACCGGCUAACUCCGUGCCAGCCGCCGCGGUGAUUC
rnacentral:rRNA from 1 species